GCUAUUUCAUGCCCUCACGGGUAGAUCUCCCACCCUUGAAUAACAUACAUUGUUGCUUUGGCGGACGCUUCGGCGGCCGCCAGAGAACCCUAAACUCUUGUUUACAGUGUCGUCUGAGUACUAUAUAAUAGUUA
rnacentral:misc_RNA from 1 species